UAGGGAAUCUUCGGCAAUGGACGAAAGUCUGACCGAGCAACGCCGCGUGAGUGAAGAAGGUUUUCGGAUCGUAAAACUCUGUUGUUAGAGAAGAACAAGGACGUUAGUAACUGAACGUCCCCUGACGGUAUCUAACCAGAAAGCCACGGCUAACUACGUGCCAGCAGCCGCGGUAAUACGUAGGUGGCAAGCGUUGUCCGGAUUUAUUGGGCGUAAAGCGAGCGCAGGCGGUUUCUUAAGUCUGAUGUGAAAGCCCCCGGCUCCACCGGGGAGGGUCAUUUGUAACUGGGCGACUUGAGUGCAGAAGAGGGUAGUGGAAUUCCAUGUGUAGCGGUGUAAUGCGUAGAUAUAUGGCGGAACACCAGUGGCGAAGGCGUCUCUCUGGUCUGUAACUGACGCUGAGGCUCGAAAGCGUGUGGAGCAAACAGG
rnacentral:rRNA from 1 species